CUAUGUAGGAACUGAGAAUGGAGCAAGGGAAUUUGCAGGGAGAGUAACACCACCCCCUCGAAGAGAAACUGAAGGUCGGCUCCAGUUAGCAGUGGUUAUGGCAUUCGAAUCAAAGAACACCACAACAACUGUUAUAUCAUCAUGGAAGUGCCGCCUUACCCCACGAUCAAUUUUCUUCAGAUCUGAAUACCUCAUCUCCCUCUUUUUUGCUGCCUGCUGCAUUGCAGCCUUUACUAGUCUUCUAGCAAUCCCCUG
rnacentral:sRNA from 1 species